rnacentral:rRNA from 1 species
UGCCAGACUCCUACGGGAGGCAGCAGUGGGGGAUAUUGCACAAUGGGGGAAACCCUGAUGCAGCGACGCCGCGUGUGGGAAGACGGUCCUCUGGAUUGUAAACCACUGUCCCCAGGGACGAAAAUGACGGUACCUGGGGAGGAAGCUCCGGCUAACUACGUGCCAGCAGCCGCGGUAAUACGUAGGGGGCAAGCGUUAUCCGGAUUUACUGGGUGUAAAGGGAGCGUAGACGGCAAUGCAAGUCUGGAGUGAAAGCCCAAGGCCCAACCAUGGGACUGCUCUGGAAACUGUGUAGCUUGAGUGCAGGAGGGGUAAGCGGAAUUCCUAGUGUAGCGGUGAAAUGCGUAGAUAUUAGGAGGAACACCGGUGGCGAAGGCGGCUUACUGGACUGCAACUGACGUUGAGGCUCGAAGGCGUGGGGAGCAAACAGGAUUAGAUACCCGUGUACUA